UGGGGAAUAUUGCACAAUGGGCGCAAGCCUGAUGCAGCGACGCCGCGUGGGGGAUGACGGCCUUCGGGUUGUAAACUCCUUUCGUCAGGGACGAAGCGAAAGUGACGGUACCUGGAUAAGAAGCACCGGCUAACUACGUGCCAGCAGCCGCGGUAAUACGUAGGGUGCGAGCGUUGUCCGGAAUUACUGGGCGUAAAGAGCUCGUAGGUGGUUUGUCGCGUCGUUUGUGGAAUACCGCAGCUUAACUGCGGGGUUGCAGGCGAUACGGGCAUAACUUGAGUGCUGUAGGGGAGACUGGAAUUCCUGGUGUAGCGGUGGAAUGCGCAGAUAUCAGGAGGAACACCGAUGGCGAAGGCAGGUCUCUGGGCAGUAACUGACGCUGAGGAGCGAAAGCAUGGGUAGCGAACAGG
rnacentral:rRNA from 1 species